rnacentral:rRNA from 1 species
CCUACGGGGGGCAGCAGUGAGGAAUAUUGGUCAAUGGGCGCGAGCCUGAACCAGCCACAUAGCGUGAAGGAUGACUGCCCUACGGGUUGUAAACUUCUUUUAUAAGGGAAUACAGUGAGGCUCGUGUGCCUUUUUGUAUGUACUUUAUGAAUAAGGAUCGGCUAACUCCGUGCCAGCAGCUGCGGUAAUACGGAGGAUCCGAGCGUUACCCGGAUUUAUUGGGUUUAAAGGGAUCGUAGAUGUGUUGGUAAGUUCGUUGUGAAAGUUUGCGGAUUAACCGUAAAAUUGCAAUUGAUACUGGCAGCCUUGAGUACAGUUGAGGUAGGCGGAAUUCGUGGUGGAGCGGUGAAAUGCUUAGAUAUCACGAAGAACUCCGAUUGCGAAGGCAGCUUACUAAACUGCCACUGACAUUGAUGCUCGAAAGUGUGGGUAUCAAACAGGAUUAGAUACCCCAGUAGUC